GUGCAACUCAUUAGUUUUCGACGAACUAGCAUAUGCCAUUUUUACAGAAGCAAACGUUGCUCAAUUCACAUCCGCCACAAUUUGGUUUGGUGAAGAGAUUUUGGAAAUAUCUGCUGGAACAUGAGGCAUUAUCUACGAGGAUUCAACCUGGAUUGGAACAAAAGGUUGUUCUUCCGUGAGAUUCGUAUCUUCAGAUUGGAUUGGAGGGCGAGCAUCUAAAUAUUUUCUCUAACCUUUGAGGAUGAUUAUGCGGCGCCCGAUGACGAUGAAUAUGAGGAGAAGAUGAAGAAGAAACUAUAUCAUUUUUCUUUUUAGAAAUG